AGGCCAACAGGGAAUCCCUUCUUUGACAAAAUCCGAUGACACCUGUCACUAGCAAUUGUGCACAGAGGCACGGGAAGAAGGAGAGAGAAGAGAGGAGGAGGAGGAAGGCUUACCUCAGCCUCCGAUGAUUUCACCGACGAGAAAUCAUGACGAGCAUGAAUCAAGGGCCGCGGCUUCAAUCAGAGAAAUCAAGGAGGAAGAGAGGG
rnacentral:lncRNA from 1 species